AAACACCAUAUAUCAUCUCUUAAUUAAGAGAAGGAAGAAACGUAUCUUAUGCGACAGGUGUCAAAAUAUUAGUGGAUAUAAGAGAGGUAUCGAGUUUCUUUCGUUCUUUGUUCUUCGUCGUCGUCGUCCUCCAUCUGCCCUGUCAUAUCUCGCUCUCUCUCCCUCAGAUUUUCUUAUCUUGUCGAUUACUUUCCCUGAGGAAAUUUUUCUUUAGUGUUUGCGAUUUCCACGAGGGAGAGUGGGUCAAAGACGACUCGUAUCCGCUUUACAAACCCGGUUCUUGUUAUCUGAUCGACGAGCAGUUUACUUGUAUAACCAACGGAAGCCCCGACGUUGAGUUUCAGAAAUUGAAGUGGAAGCCAAAGCAAUGCACUUUACCAAGGUUGAAUGGUGGCAAAUUGAUGGAGAUGAUUACAGGAAAAAGGCUUGCGUUUGUUGGAGAUUCGCUGAAGGAAUAUGUGGGAAUCUUUGGUUUGUAUUCUUAAAGGAUCAGUGAAAGUUAAGAGUCAAGUCUUUGAAGAUCAUGGACGACAUCAGUUCCGUUGCGAGGCUGAGUACUCUUUCGUCUUCAAAGAUUAUAAUUGCACUGUGGAGUUCUUUGCUUCACCUUUCUUGGUUCAAGAAUGGGAACUUACGGACAAGAAGGGGACUAAGAAGGACACUUUGCGGUUAGAUGUGGUCAGGAAGUCUUCUGAGCAGUACAAAGGAGCUGAUGUUCUUGUAUUUAAUACUGGACACUGGUGGACUCAUGACAAAACUUCCAACGGGGAGGAUUACUAUCAAGAAGGAAGCAAUGUUUCCACUACUUUCCUCCUCAUCUGCUUCUGGUGACGAUUGUGAUCGGCGGCGUCAACUCCGAGUACAUAGAGUACAACACAGCACCGAGAAUCGUCCCUGAGAAAAUCCGUGUUCACUUGGUUCCUCACUCCCACGACGACGUUGGUUGGCUCAAGACCGUUGACCAGUACUACGUCGGUGCCAAUAACUCCAUUUGGGGAGCUUGUGUUGAGAAUGUAAUCGAAUCUGUCAUUGCUUCGUUGCUGGACGAUCAAAAUAUAAAGUUUAUCUAUGUUGAGAUGGCGUUCUUUCAAAGAUGGUGGAGGCAACAAAGCAAUGCCAAGAAGGUUAAGGUGAAGAAGCUUGUGGACUCCGGUCAACUUGAGUUCAUAAAUGGUGGAAUGUGUAUGCACGAUGAGGCGACUCCACAUUAUAUUGACAUGAUUGAUCAGACAACACUAGGCCAUCAUUUUAUCAUAUCGGACAAAAAUCUCAUACGGAAGAAAUGGCCAAAAAAUAAUCUUUCACCACCAAAAUUAUUCUAUGUGGACAAGUAUGUGUAAAUGACGUUUUUACCAUUAAUGAUGGGUCAAUAUGAACUCUUUGAUCAAA